rnacentral:rRNA from 1 species
CCUACGGGUGGCAGCAGUGAGGAAUAUUGGUCAAUGGGCGUAAGCCUGAACCAGCCAAGUCGCGUGAGGGAUGAAGGUCCUAUGGAUCGUAAACCUCUUUUAUAAGGGAAUAAAGUGCGGGACGUGUCCCGUUUUGUAUGUACCUUAUGAAUAAAGAUCGGCUAACUUCGUGCCAGCCGCCGCGGUAAUACGGUGGAUCCGAGCGUUACCCGGAUUUAUUUGGUUUAAAGGGUGCGUAGGCGGCCUUGUAAGGCAGCGGUGAAAGUCUGUGGCUGAACCAUAGAAUUGCCGUUGAAACUGGGAGGCUUGAGUAUGUUAGAGGCAGGCGGAAUGCGUGGUGUAGCGGUGAAAUGCUUAGAUAUCACGCAGAACCCCGAUUGCGAAGGCAGCCUGCCAGGCCAUGACUGACGCUGAUGCACGAAAGCGUGGGGAUCAAACAGGAUUAGAUACCCGGGUAGUC